AACAAACGCUGGCGGCGUGCCUAACACAUGCAAGUCGAACGAGAAAGUCGGUUUCGGCCGAUGAGUAAAGUGGCGCACGGGUGCGUAACGCGUGGGAAUCUGCCCUUGGGUUCGGAAUAACUCAGAGAAAUUUGAGCUAAUACCGGAUGAUGACGUAAGUCCAAAGAUUUAUCGCCCAAGGAUGAGCCCGCGUAAGAUUAGCUUGUUGGUAGGGUAAUGGCCUACCAAGGCGACGAUCUUUAGCUGGUCUGAGAGGAUGAUCAGCCACACUGGGACUGAGACACGGCCCAGACUCCUACGGGAGGCAGCAGUGGGGAAUAUUGGACAAUGGGCGAAAGCCUGAUCCAGCAAUGCCGCGUGAGUGAUGAAGGCCUUAGGGUUGUAAAGCUCUUUUACCAGGGAUGAUAAUGACAGUACCUGGAGAAUAAGCUCCGGCUAACUCCGUG
rnacentral:rRNA from 1 species